GACGAACGCUGGCGGCGUGCUUAACACAUGCAAGUCGAACGGAAAGGCCCUUCGGGGUACUCGAGUGGCGAACGGGUGAGUAACACGUGGGUGAUCUGCCCUGCACUUUGGGAUAAGCCUGGGAAACUGGGUCUAAUACCGAAUAGGACCACGCGCUUCAUGGUGUGUGGUGGAAAGCUUUUGCGGUGUGGGAUGGGCCCGCGGCCUAUCAGCUUGUUGGUGGGGUAAUGGCCUACCAAGGCGACGACGGGUAGCCGGCCUGAGAGGGUGACCGGCCACACUGGGACUGAGAUACGGCCCAGACUCCUACGGGAGGCAGCAGUGGGGAAUAUUGCACAAUGGGCGCAAGCCUGAUGCAGCGACGCCGCGUGAGGGAUGACGGCCUUCGGGUUGUAAACCUCUUUCAAUAGGGACGAUGCGCAAGUGACGGUACCUAUAGAAGAAGCACCGGCCAACUACGUG
rnacentral:rRNA from 1 species